rnacentral:rRNA from 1 species
AGUGAACGCUGGCGGUAGGCCUAACACAUGCAAGUCGAACGGCAGCACAGUAAGAGCUUGCUCUUACGGGUGGCGAGUGGCGGACGGGUGAGGAAUACAUCGGAAUCUACUUUUUCGUGGGGGAUAACGUAGGGAAACUUACGCUAAUACCGCAUACGACCUACGGGUGAAAGCAGGGGAUCUUCGGACCUUGCGCGAUUGAAUGAGCCGAUGUCGGAUUAGCUAGUUGGCGGGGUAAAGGCCCACCAAGGCGAGGAUCCGUAGCUGGUCUGAGAGGAUGAUCAGCCACACUGGAACGGAGACACGGUCCAGACUCCUACGGGAGGCAGCAGUGGGGAAUAUUGGACAAUGGGCGCAAGCCUGAUCCAGCCAUACCGCGUGGGUGAAGAAGGCCUUCGGGUUGUAAAGCCCUUUUGUUGGGAAAGAAAAGCAGCAGGUUAAUACCCCGCUGUUCUGACGGUACCCAAAGAAUAAGCACCGGCUAACUUCGUG